rnacentral:rRNA from 1 species
UACGUAGGGUGCAAGCGUUAAUCGGAAUUACUGGGCGUAAAGCGUGCGCAGGCGGUUUUGUAAGUCUGUCGUGAAAUCCCCGGGCUCAACCUGGGAAUGGCGAUGGAGACUGCAAGGCUAGAGUUUGGCAGAGGGGGGUAAAAUUCCACGUGUAGCAGUGAAAUGCGUAGAUAUGUGGAGGAACACCGAUGGCGAAGGCAGCCCCCCUGGGUCAAAACUGACGCUCAUGCACGAAAGCGUGGGGAGCAAACAGG